GCCGGGCAUGGUGGUGCAUGCCUGUAAUCCCAGCUACUUGGGAGGCUGAGACAGGAGAAUUGCUUGAACCCAGGAGGCGGAGGUUGCAGUGAGCCGAGAUCAUGCCAUUGCACUCCAGCCUGGGUGACAGAGCGAGACUCCAUCUCAG
rnacentral:SRP_RNA from 2 species